CUUCCCUGGCAGUGGGCAAAGAGACACCUUGUUGGUGGUGGUGUUCUUCUAUCAGCCAGGACCAGAACAGAUGGCAGUCCUUUGUUCAUCCUGUCCUGAUGCCUAGCUUGGUGGCCAAAACUGUUUCAUGCCUGGAACUCAUAA